rnacentral:rRNA from 1 species
UACGUAGGGCGCAAGCGUUGUCCGGAAUUAUUGGGCGUAAAGAGCUCGUAGGCGGUCUGUUACGUCUGCUGUGAAAACCCGGGGCUUAACCCUGGGCUUGCAGUGGAUACGGGCAGACUAGAGGCAGGUAGGGGAGAAUGGAAUUCCCGGUGUAGCGGUGAAAUGCGCAGAUAUCAGGAGGAACACCGGUGGCGAAGGCGGUUCUCUGGGCAUUACCUGACGCUGAGGAGCGAAAGUGUGGGGAGCGAACAGG